rnacentral:rRNA from 1 species
CACGUAGGGCGCGAGCGUUGUCCGGAAUUAUUGGGCGUAAAGGGUGCGUAGGCGGCAUGGUAAGUCAGAGGUGAAAUCCCGGAGCUCAACUUCGGAAUUGCCUCCGAUACUGCCAUGCUUGAGGACUGGAGAGGAGAUUGGAAUUCACAGUGGAGCAGUGAAAUGCGUAGAUAUUGUGAGGAACACGAGUGGCGAAGGCGAAUCUCUGGACAGUUCCUGACGCUGAGGCACGAAGGCCAGGGGAGCAAACGGG